GACGAACGCUGGCGGCGUGCUUAACACAUGCAAGUCGAACGGAAAGGCCCUGCUUUUGUGGGGUGCUCGAGUGGCGAACGGGUGAGUAACACGUGAGUAACCUGCCCUUGACUUUGGGAUAACUUCAGGAAACUGGGGCUAAUACCGGCUAGGAGCUCCUGCUGCAUGGUGGGGGUUGGAAAGUUUCGGCGGUUGGGGAUGGACUCGCGGCUUAUCAGCUUGUUGGUGGGGUAGUGGCUUACCCAGGCAUUGACGGGUAGCCGGCCUGAGAGGGUGGCCGGGCACAUGGGGACUGAGGGACGGCCCAGACUCCUACGGGAGGCAGCAGUGGGGAGUAUUGCACAGUGGGCGGAAGCGUGAGGCAGCAACGCCGCGUGCGGGAUGACGGCCUUCGUGGGGUAAACCGCUGUCGCCUGUGACGAAGCGUGAGUGACGGUAAUGGGUAAAGAAGCACCGGCUAACUACGUG
rnacentral:rRNA from 1 species